UACGGAGGGUGCAAGCGUUAAUCGGAAUUACUGGGCGUAAAGCGCACGUAGGUGGUUUGCUAAGUCAGCUGUGAAAUCCCCGGGCUCAACCUGGGCACUGCAGUUGAAACUGGUAAGCUAGAGUAGGGUAGAGGGGUGUGGAAUUCCAGGUGUAGCGGUGAAAUGCGUAGAUAUCUGGAGGAACAUCAGUGGCGAAGGCGGCUCACUGGCCCGGUACUGACGCUGAGGUGCGAAAGCGUGGGGAGCAAACAGG
rnacentral:rRNA from 1 species